GGAGGGGGUUUAGCGUUUGUUCGGAAUUACUGGGCGUAAAGCGCACGUAGGCGGACCAGAAAGUUGGGGGUGAAAUCCCGGGGCUCAACCCCGGAACUGCCUCCAAAACUAUUGGUCUAGAGUUCGAGAGAGGUGAGUGGAAUUCCGAGUGUAGAGGUGAAAUUCGUAGAUAUUCGGAGGAACACCAGUGGCGAAGGCGGCUCACUGGCUCGAUACUGACGCUGAGGUGCGAAAGUGUGGGGAGCAAACAGGAUUAGAUACCCUGGGUAGUCCACACCGUAAACGAUGAAUGCCAGUCGUCGGGUUGCAUGCAAUUCGGUGACACACCCUAACGGAUUAAGCAUUCCGCCUGGGGAGUACGGUCGCAAGAUUA
rnacentral:rRNA from 1 species